UACUGCCAUUCAAAUCACUCCAAAGUUCAUUCACCAUACAGACGUCACGUUCAUUGUGAUUGUUGACAACUGUCAAAAUGAUCUUCAUAGCCUAGAUUUGAUUAUCGUUCAUCGUCUCAGUGAACGAAUCUGAGUUUCUGUUGGUGUUUUUUUUUUGUCCGCAGUACCAAAUAUUACUAAUUAAUUGUGCAAAUUAAAAAACAAUCUCCGCAUCAACUCGAAAACAGUGGCAGGAACUAAUCCCGUUCGCUAUUGAUUGGCAAAAUUGGAAUAAUAGCUCCAU